UACGGGGGGAGCAAGCGUUGUUCGGAUUUACUGGGCGUAAAGGGCGCGUAGGCGGCCACCGCAAGUCGGACUGUGAAAUCUCCGGGCUUAACCCGGAAAGGUCAGCCGAUACUGCGGGGCUAGAGUGCAGAAGGGGCAACUGGAAUUCUCGGUGUAGCGGUGAAAUGCGUAGAUAUCGAGAGGAACACCUGCGGCGAAGGCGGGUUGCGUGGGCUGACACUGACGCUGAUGCGCGAAAGCUAGGGGAGCGAACGGG
rnacentral:rRNA from 1 species